UACUAAGGAUGAGGUUACUAAGGAUGAGGCUACUAAGGAUGAGGCUACUAAGGAUGAGGCUACUAACGAUGAGGCUACUAAGGAUGAGGCUACUAAGGAUGAGGCUACUAAGGAUGAGGCUACUAAGGAUGAGGCUACUAACGAUGAGGCUACUAAGGAUGAGGCUACUAAGGAUGAGGCUACUAAGGAUGAGGCUACUAAGGAUGAGGUUACUAACGAUGAGGCUACUAAGGAUGAGGCUACUAAGGAUGAGGCUACUAAGGAUGAGGCUACUAAGGAUGAGGCUACUAAGGAUGAGGCUACUAAGGAUGAGGCUACUAAGGAUGAGGUUGUAAUUUCAAUCACCGAAUCAAAUAAUAAUAGAUGGAUAUUAACUGAAUAAACUUUUUUUUCAGUUUUUUCUUCUCGUUUUUUACCUGUAGCCUAAUCUGACUGUUACCGUCAACCUAAUGUAGCACAACAGCUGAUCGCCAAUUGCGAUAGAGCUGUGACCAUGAUCACGAUGUCAUGCCAUUCAUAACAGUAGGCUACACCAGCACUAAACUGAAGUUAGAGGCUAUUUCAUUCAAUCUGUUCGCCAGCUCCAGGUAAAACGACACAAGUUCAAAAAUCUAAUUUUAUUUGUCACAUACACGUGGUUAGCAGAUGUUAAUUCGAGUGUAGCGAAAUGCGAAAUGCUUGUGCUUCUAGUUCCGACAAUGCAGUAAUAACCAACAAGUAAUCUAACUAACAAUUCCUAAACUACUGUGUUAUACACAGUGUAAGGGGAUAACGAAUAUGUACAUAAAGAUAUAUGAAUGAGUGAUGGUACAGAGCAGCAUAGGCAAGAUACAGUAGAUGGUAUCGAGUACAGUAUAUACAUAUGAGACGAGUAUGUAGACAAAGUGGCUAGUGAUACAUGUAUUACAUAAAGAGCUUUCUAUUCCGCAACAAAGCCUCCUUCACUCACGCUGCCAAGCUUACCCUAGUAAAACUGACUAUCCUACCGACCCUCGACUUCGGCGAUGUCAUCUACAAAAUGGCUUCCAACACUCUACUCAGCAAACUGGAUGCAGUCUAUCACAGUGCCAUCCGUUUUGUCACUAAAGCACCUUAUACCACCCACCACUGCGACUUGUAUGCUCUAGUCGGCUGGCCCUCGCUACAUAUUCGUCGCCAGACCCACUGGCUCCAGGUCAUCUACAAGGCCAUGCUAGGCAAAGCUCCGCCUUAUCUCAGCUCACUGGUCACGAUGGCAACACCCAUCCGUAGCACGCGCUCCAGCAGGUGUAUCUCAUUGAUCAUCCCUAAAGCCAACACCUCAUUC